AGAGUUUGAUCAUGGCUCAGGAUGAACGCUAGCGGCAGGCUUAAUACAUGCAAGUCGAGGGGCAGCAUGGUGUAGCAAUACACUGAUGGCGACCGGCAAACGGGUGCGGAACACGUACAGAACCUUCCUUCGAGCGGGGAAUAGCCCAGAGAAAUUUGGAUUAAUACCCCAUAGUAUUACGGAGUGGCAUCACUUUGUAAUUAAAGAUUUAUCACUUGAAGAUGGCUGUGCGGCUGAUUAGGUAGUUGGCGGGGUAAUGGCCCACCAAGCCUGCGAUCAGUAACUGGUGUGAGAGCACGACCAGUCACACGGGCACUGAGACACGGGCCCGACUCCUACGGGAGGCAGCAGUAAGGAAUAUUGGUCAAUGGACGAAAGUCUGAACCAGCCAUGCCGCGUGGAGGAUGAAGGUCCUCUGGAUUGUAAACUUCUUUUAUAUGGGACGAAAAAAGGCCUUUCUAGGUCGUCUGACGGUACCAUAUGAAUAAGCACCGGCUAACUCCGUGCCAGCAGCCGCGGUAAUACGUAGGUGACGAGCGUUAUCCGGAAUUACUGGGCGUAAAGCGCACGCAGGCGGCGCGUUAAGUCUGACGUGAAAUCUCUCGGCUUAACCGGGAGGGGUCGUUGGAGACUGGCGGGCUUGAGGCGAUGAGAGGGGUGUAGAAUUCCCGGUGUAGUGGUGGAAUGCGUAGAUAUCGGGAGGAAUACCAGUGGCGAAAGCGGCACCCUGGCAUUAGCCUGACGCUCAGGUGCGAAGGCGUGGGGAGCGAACGGGAUUAGAUACCCCGGUAGU
rnacentral:rRNA from 1 species